UACAGAGGUCCCAAGCGUUGUUCGGAUUCACUGGGCGUAAAGGGUGCGUAGGCGGUCGGCAAGUCCGGGGUGAAAGCCCCCAGCUCAACUGGGGAAGGGCCUUGGAAACUGCCGGUCUUGAGGGAGGUAGGGGCCUGUGGAACUUCGGGUGGAGCGGUGAAAUGCGUUGAUAUCCGAAGGAACGCCGGUGGCGAAAGCGACGGGCUGGAUCUCUUCUGACGCUGAGGCGCGAAAGCUAGGGUAGCGAACGGG
rnacentral:rRNA from 1 species